rnacentral:lncRNA from 1 species
AGUCCAGCCGCAGGGGCCACCCGAACAGUCUCUCCUCCUCACAGAAGCCUGGAGCUGGGCAUCCAAGAAGAAGCAGCCUCAUUUGUUUUCUGGUGUCAUCGUAGGUGGCCACCUAUGGCUUUUGGGCUUCUCACCUGGGGCGGGUGGGUUCUGCACCACCCUCCCACCCUCCUUCCUCCGUGUGGACGAUAGAGCCACAUCCAGCACCACGGACAGCUCCCGGGCGGAAAUUCCAUGAUCUUGCUUAUUCCUGUCUUGGGAAGUCCUUCUCCAUGUCUAACCAAGAUCUAUAUGGCUAUAGCACCAGCUCUUUGGCUCUUGGCUUGGCAUGGCUAAGUUGGGAGACCAAAAAGAAGAAUGUACUUCAUCUGGUUGGGCUGGAUUCCCUCUGAUAAGCCUUCCCAGUUGACUGAAAGAUGAGGCUAGGCUCUAGCAAGUUGAAGUCAAACCAGCUCCUUCAAGAAGCUUUGAGCAGAAUGAAGUGGGGAGGACCCAGCUUCCAGCCCAGGAAGCCCACUGUACCUGGAGCCAUCUGGGAUAAGACUUUGACCCAUGACUCCCAUAUCCACAGCCUGUCCAUCCUAGCCCAUCCCAGUUUAUCCUGUAUCAUUUGAGCUGGGAUUCCCACAUCCUCUGAGUUGGAAGUCCCAUCUCAAGUCUUCAAUAAAGACUCUUGAAUAUUGAAUCACA